AAUAUUAGAUUAAAAUUAGGUUCUUAAUUAGAUGUUAAAAGGGAAAAAGGUUAGAUGCCUUUGCAGCCCCCGCUACUGUGAAACCAACGAAACUAUAAAUACCACUGUCAGUUUGAUGGGAAGGUUAUAGAAGUAGGAUGAAGUUAAGCCAGGAUACCUGCCUAAUUUAAUUUAAAACAA
rnacentral:ncRNA from 28 species